rnacentral:rRNA from 1 species
GGACGACGCUGGCGGCGUGCUUAACACAUGCAAGUUGAACGGGGCAUAUUGAAGGGUAACCGGAGGGUAUGUCUAGUGGCGAACGGGUGAGUAAUGCAUCGGAACGUACCUUUCAGUGGGGGAUAACGUAGCGAAAGUUACGCUAAUACCGCAUAUUCUGUGAGCAGGAAAGCAGGGGAUCGCAAGACCUUGCGCUGAUUGAGCGGCCGAUGUCAGAUUAGCUAGUUGGUGAGGUAAAGGCUCACCAAGGCGACGAUCUGUAGCGGGUCUGAGAGGAUGAUCCGCCACACUGGAACUGAGACACGGUCCAGACUCCUACGGGAGGCAGCAGUGGGGAAUUUUGGACAAUGGGGGCAACCCUGAUCCAGCCAUGCCGCGUGAGUGAAGAAGGCCUUCGGGUUGUAAAGCUCUUUCGGCCGGGAAGAAAUCGCAUGGGCUAAUACCCUGUGCGGAUGACGGUACCGGCAUAAGAAGCACCGGCUAACUACGUG